UUGCCUUAGUAACGGCGAGUGAAGCGGCAAAAGCUCAAAUUUGAAAUCUGGUACCUUCGGUGCCCGAGUUGUAAUUUGGAGAGGGCAACUUUGGGGCCGUUCCUUGUCUAUGUUCCUUGGAACAGGACGUCAUAGAGGGUGAGAAUCCCGUGUGGCGAGGAGUGCGGUUCUUUGUAAAGUGCCUUCGAAGAGUCGAGUUGUUUGGGAAUGCAGCUCUAAGUGGGUGGUAAAUUCCAUCUAAAGCUAAAUAUUGGCGAGAGACCGAUAGCGAACAAGUACAGUGAUGGAAAGAUGAAAAGAACUUUGAAAAGAGAGUGAAAAAGUACGUGAAAUUGUUGAAAGGGAAGGGCAUUUGAUCAGACAUGGUGUUUUGUGCCCUCUGCUCCUUGUGGGUAGGGGAAUCUCGCAUUUCACUGGGCCAGCAUCAGUUUUGGUGGCAGGAUAAAUCCAUAGGAAUGUAGCUUGCCUCGGUAAGUAUUAUAGCCUGUGGGAAUACUGCCAGCUGGGACUGAGGACUGCGACGUAAGUCAAGGAUGCUGGCAUAAUGGUUAUAUGCCGCCCGUCUUGAAACACGGACCUCCU
rnacentral:rRNA from 1 species